UACGUAGGGUGCAAGCGUUAAUCGGAAUUACUGGGCGUAAAGCGUGCGCAGGCUGUUUUGUAAGUCAGAUGUGAAAUCCCUGGGCUCAACCUAGGAACUGCGUUUGAAACUACAAGGCUAGAGUGUAGCAGAGGGGGGUAGAAUUCCACGUGUAGCAGUGAAAUGCGUAGAGAUGUGGAGGAAUACCAAUGGCGAAGGCAGCCCCCUGGGUUAACACUGACGCUCAUGCACGAAAGCGUGGGGAGCAAACAGG
rnacentral:rRNA from 1 species